rnacentral:rRNA from 1 species
AUUGAACGCUGGCGGCAGGCCUAACACAUGCAAGUCGAGCGAGCGGCGGACGGGUGUGUAAUGUCUGGGAAACUGCCUGAUGGCGGGGGAUAACUCCUGGAAACGGUAGCUAAUACCGCAUACCAUCAGAUGUGCCCAGAUGGGAUUAGAUAGUAGGUGGGGUAACGGCCCACCUAGGCGACGAUCCCUAGCUGGUCUGAGAGGCUGACCAGCCACACUGGAACUGAGACACGGUCCAGACUCCGACGGGAGGCAGCAGUGGGGAAUAUUGCACAAUAGGCGCAAGCCUGAUGCAGCCAGGCCGCGUGUGUGAAGAAGGCCUUCGGGUUGUAAAGCACUUUCAGCGGGGAGGCGUUACCCGCAGAAGAAGCACCGGCUAACUCCGUGCCAGCGGCCGCGGUAAUUC